rnacentral:rRNA from 1 species
GACAGAGGGUGCCAACGUUGUUCGGAAUUACUGGGCGUAAAGCGCGUGUAGGCGGCUUGGCAAGUCGGGGGUGAAAGCCCCGGGCUCAACCUGGGAAGUGCACUCGAAACUGCUUGGCUUGAGUACUGGAGAGGGAAGCGGAAUUCUCGGUGUAGAGGUGAAAUUCGUAGAUAUCGAGAGGAACACCGGUGGCGAAGGCGGCUUCCUGGACAGUUACUGACGCUGAGACGCGAAAGCGUGGGGAGCAAACAGG